UCUUCAUUUCACGCACUUUCUCACCGGUCAGAGAGGCGAGAGAGAGUGUGAAAUGAAGAGA
rfam:Pristionchus pacificus strain PS312 contig9496, whole genome shotgun sequence.